GAAGGAGAGUUCAGCUCAGAGCCAGCAUGGGAAGGAUGCAUAACCUAGAUAUUGUGUUGCUCUUCCAUUGAAACAGAGUUUCCUGCAACCCAGGCUAGCCUCAAAGUCACUGAGUAGUGGAGGAAGACCUUGAACUCCUUCCUCCUGCUUCUGCCUCCUGGGUGCCGGGAUUGCAGCACCCGAGACAGGAUCACCCUUCAUACCU
rnacentral:lncRNA from 1 species